rnacentral:rRNA from 1 species
CAGUAGCCGCGGUAAUACGUAGGGAGCAAGCGUUGUUCGGAUUUACUGGGCGUAAAGGGCGCGUAGGCGGCGCGGUAAGUCACUUGUGAAAUCUCUGAGCUUAACUCAGAACGGCCAAGUGAUACCGCUGUGCUAGAGUGCGGAAGAGGCAACCGGAAUUCUUGGUGUAGCGGUGAAAUGCGUAGAUAUCAAGAGGAACACCUGAGGCGAAGGCGGGUUGCUGGGCCGACACUGACGCUGAUGCGCGAAAGCCGGGGGAGCAAACGGGAUUAGAUACCCCAGUAGUCCCUGUCUCUUAUAC